AUUGAACGCUGGCGGCAGGCCUAACACAUGCAAGUCGAGCGGAUGAUGGGAGCUUGCUCCUUGAUUCAGCGGCGGACGGGUGAGUAAUAGGAAUCUGCCUGGUAGUGGGGGACAACGUUUCGAAAGGAACGCUAAUACCGCAUACGUCCUACGGGAGAAAGCAGGGGACCUUCGGGCCUUGCGCUAUCAGAUGAGCCUAGGUCGGAUUAGCUUGUUGGUGAGGUAAUGGCUCACCAAGGCGACGAUCCGUAACUGGUCUGAGAGGAUGAUCAGUCACACUGGAACUGAGACACGGUCCAGACUCCUACGGGAGGCAGCAGUGGGGAAUAUUGGACAAUGGGCGAAAGCCUGAUCCAGCCAUGCCGCGUGUGUGAAGAAGGUCUUCGGAUUGUAAAGCACUUUAAGUUGGGAGGAAGGGUUGUAGAUUAAUACUCUGCAAUUUUGACGUUACCGACAGAAUAAGCACCGGCUAACUCUGUGCCAGCAGCCGCGGUAAGAC
rnacentral:rRNA from 1 species